CAGUAGCCGCGGGAAUACGGAGGGUGCAAGCGUUAAUCGGAAUUACUGGGCGUAAAGCGCACGCAGGCGGCUUGACAAGUCAGAUGUGAAAUCCCUGAGCUUAACUUAGGAACUGCAUUUGAAACUGUCAAGCUGGAGUCUUGUAGAGGGUGGUGGAAUUCCAGGUGUAGCGGUGAAAUGCGUAGAGAUCUGGAGGAAUACCGAUGGCGAAGGCGGCCCUCUGGACAAAGACUGACGCUCAGGUGCGAAAGCGUGGGGAGCAAACAGGAUUAGAUACCCCUGUAGUCCCUGUCUCUUAUAC
rnacentral:rRNA from 1 species